rnacentral:rRNA from 1 species
CCGGCACGGGUGAGUAACACGUAUCCAACCUGCCGUCUACUCUUGGCCAGCCUUCUGAAAGGAAGAUUAAUCCAGGAUGGCAUCAUGAGUUCACAUGUCCGCAUGAUUAAAGGUAUUUUCCGGUAGACGAUGGGGAUGCGUUCCAUUAGAUAGUAGGCGGGGUAACGGCCCACCUAGUCAACGAUGGAUAGGGGUUCUGAGAGGAAGGUCCCCUACAUUGGAACUGAGACACGGUCCAA